rnacentral:misc_RNA from 1 species
GCAGCUUUAUUUAGGGGUUGUAGCAUCACAACUAAAGAGUAAUAACAUUACAUACAAAGAAAUUGUCUUGCACAACUCAUGCGACAGCAAAGUUAGCACAAUCAUCCAUUGAACUGAAAUACGAUGUUUGGCAGCUAAGCUUCAGAAUCUAAUUAGACAAAAUGUAUUUGCCUACAAAUGAUGAUUAUAAAAAGGGAAGAAACUAAAUAACAAUGACAUCCUCAUCCGGAUGAUUUUCCGGUGCGCCUUGACCUCUUGCCCUCAUCUCAGGCUCCAUAUCAGCACCAUCAUGAUUGCUCCCCAGCGGAUCAUUCUUACGCAAGAAUGGUGGUUCCUCACCACUUCCACUCUCACAAACAUCGGUGAGCUUGGCAAUCACAUCAAUUAAAGCUUGUUCCUGUUCCUUGAGCAUUUUCUUUGCCUUUGCAAGCUCAGCCAGAUCAGGGUGACUUGCAUCAACAACCUUCUCAACCUUCUUUAUCAGUGUUGCUGUGUGCAGAAUCUCAAUUUCAUCUGAUGCCUUCUGUACGAUUCUAUUCUCUGAUGCAUUGACAUCAUUCUCAAAUUGUUGCCUAGCAAAUCUCCUCCCUCUUCCAGCACUUAGAGUAUUAACUCCUCCAUAGCCUGGCCCACCAUUUCCUCGAGAUAUUCCAGGAUCAUCACCUAUCCAACGAAUGUCCAUGGAGCGAAUCUCUUU